rnacentral:rRNA from 1 species
AGUGGCGAACGGGUGAGUAAUAUAUCGGAACGUAUCCAAUAAUGGGGGAUAACGAGUCGAAAGAUUCGCUAAUACCGCAUACGCCCUGAGGGGGAAGGCUGGGGAUCUUCGGACCUAGCGUUAAUGGAGCGGCCGAUAUCUGAUUAGCUAGUUGGUGAGGUAAAGGCUCACCAAGGCGACGAUCAGUAGCUGGUCUGAGAGGACGACCAGCCACACUGGAACUGAGACACGGUCCAGACUCCUACGGGAGGCAGCAGUGGGGAAUUUUGGACAAUGGGGGCAACCCUGAUCCAGCCAUUCCGCGUGAGUGAAGAAGGCCUUCGGGUUGUAAAGCUCUUUCGCAAGGGAAGAAAACUUACAUUCUAAUAAAGUGUGAGGCUGACGGUACCUUGAUAAGAAGCACCGGCUAACUACGUGCCAGCAGCCGCGGUAAUACGUAGGGUGCGAGCGUUAAUCGGAAUUACUGGGCGUAAAGCGUGCGCAGGCGGUUUUGUAAGUCAGAUGUGAAAUCCCCGGGCUUAACCUGGGAACUGCGUUUGAAACUACAAGGCUAGAAUAUGUCAGAGGGGGGUAGAAUUCCACGUGUAGCAGUGAAAUGCGUAGAGAUGUGGAGGAAUACCAAUGGCGAAGGCAGCCCCCUGGGAUAAUAUUGACGCUCAUGCACGAAAGCGUGGGGAGCAAACAGGAUUAGAUACCCUGG